CGUAUAUUAACUAUUUACAAAGAAAAGGAAAAAAAACACUUUCACUGGUAUCUACGUGAAGCCGCUGAACGCAUCACACGCAGCAGAACGGCUGCACAAUGCACAGUAAUGGCAGCCGCGACGAACCGCGCGGGUACACGCCAGCCACACUAAUAGUCAAAUGAAAAACAACACGAAAAACUAUAUACAGUACAAUCAAAAGGAAAGAAGCAUUACCUGCAACACAGUAUGGCAAGAUAGAUAGGUGAAGUCACGGGGCUUUUCAGUCUAGAAAAUAACCUGUGACUUCCCUGGUAGCUCUUCCUGAACUAAACAUCAUCCAUAAGAAACUAAAUGCACAACAAAACAAAAUAUACAACAUAGGUGAUCGUAUAUUAACUAUUUACAAAGAAAAGGAAAAAAAAACACUUUCACUGGUAUCUACGUGAUGCCGCUGAACGCAUCACACGCAGCAGAAUGGCUGCACAAUGCACAGUAAUGGCAGCCGCGACGAACCGCACGGGUACACGCCAGCCACACUAAUAGUCAAAUGAAAAACAACACGAAAAACUAUAUACAGUACAAUCAAAAGGAAAGAAGCAUUACCUGCAACACAGUAUGGCAAGAUAGGUGAAGUCACGGGG